rnacentral:rRNA from 1 species
GACGGGGGCCCGCACAAGCGGCGGAGCAUGCGGAUUAAUUCGAUGCAACGCGAAGAACCUUACCAAGGCUUGACAUGCAUUAGAUCGCGUCAGAGAUGGCGUUUCCCUUCGGGGCUGGUGUACAGGUGGUGCAUGGUUGUCGUCAGCUCGUGUCGUGAGAUGUUGGGUUAAGUCCCGCAACGAGCGCAACCCUCGUUCUAUGUUGCCAGCGGUUCGGCCGGGGACUCAUAGGAGACUGCCGGGGUUAACUCGGAGGAAGGUGGGGAUGACGUCAAAUCAUCAUGCCCCUUAUGUCUUGGGCUUCACGCAUGCUACAAUGGCCGGUACAGAGGGUUGCGAUACUGUGAGGUGGAGCUAAUCCCUUAAAGCCGGCCUCAGUUCGGAUUGGGGUCUGCAACUCGACCCCAUGAAGUCGGAGUCGCUAGUAAUCGCAGAUCAGCAACGCUGCGGUGAAUACGUUCCCGGGCCUUGUACACACCGCCCGUCAAGUCACGAAAGUUGGUAACACCCGAAGCCGGUGGCCUAACCCUUGUGGGGGGAGCCGUCGAAGGUGGGAUUGGCGAUUGGGACUAAGUCGUAACAAGGUAACCAAGGGCGA